AUUGCUUCUCAGCCUUUUUUGCUAAGGUCAAGUGUAGUAUCUGUUCUUAUCAGUUUAAUAUCUAAUACGUCCUCUAUCCAAGGACAAUAUAUGAAAUGGAUUUUUGGAAGUAGGAGUUGGAAUAGGAGCUUUCUCCAUCCACUGCACGCACCAACCUGGCAUUGAGGUACCUCCAGGAACAGUGCAACCCCU